AUGGUCACUGCUAACCGCUUUUGGUCCCAAAUCUUUGGUGUUGCUUUUUUUAAUAAACGUUGGCUACAUUUCUUUAUGCUAUUUGUACCCGUCACCGGUUUAUGGAUGAGUGCUAUUGGCAUAGUUGGCCUGGCUCUGAACCUACGUGCCUAUGACUUCGUUUCCCAGGAAAUCCGUGCAGCGAAAGAUCCUGCAUUUUAGACUUUCUACACAAAAAAGAUUCUUUUAAACGAGGGUAUUCGUGCGUGGAUGGCAGCUCAGGAUCAGCCUCAUGAAAAUAUUAUAUUCCCUUAG
rnacentral:rRNA from 1 species